GACGAACUUUGGCGGCGUGCUUAACACAUGCAAGUCGAACGGAAAGGCCCUGCUUUUGUGGGGUGCUCGAGUGGCGAACGGGUGAGUAACACGUGAGUAACCUGCCCUUGACUUUGGGAUAACUUCAGGAAACUGGGGCUAAUACCGGAUAGGAGCUCCUGCUGCAUGGUGGGGGUUGGAAAGUUUCGGCGGUUGGGGAUGGACUCGCGGCUUAUCAGCUUGUUGGUGGGGUAGUGGCUUACCAAGGCUUUGACGGGUAGCCGGCCUGAGAGGGUGACCGGCCACAUUGGGACUGAGAUACGGCCCAGACUCCUACGGGAGGCAGCAGUGGGGAAUAUUGCACAAUGGGCGGAAGCCUGAUGCAGCAACGCCGCGUGCGGGAUGACGGCCUUCGGGUUGUAAACCGCUUUCGCCUGUGACGAAGCGUGAGUGACGGUAAUGGGUAAAGAAGCACCGGCUAACUACGUGCCAGCAGCCGCGGUGAUACGUAGGGUGCGAGCGUUGUCCGGAUUUAUUGGGCGUAAAGGGCUCGUAGGUGGUUGAUCGCGUCGGAAGUGUAAUCUUGGGGCUUAACCCUGAGCGUGCUUUCGAUACGGGUUGACUUGAGGAAGGUAGGGGAGAAUGGAAUUCCUGGUGGAGCGGUGGAAUGCGCAAAUAUCAGGAGGAACACCAGUGGCGAAGGCGGUUCUCUGGGCCUUUCCUGACGCUGAGGAGCGAAAGCGUGGGGAGCGAACAGGCUUAGAUACCCUGGUAGUCCACGCUGUAAACGGUGGGUACUAGGUGUGGGGUCCAUUCCACGGGUUCCGUGCCGUAGCUAACGCUUUAAGUACCCCGCCUGGGGAGUACGGCCGCAGGGCUAAAACUCAAAGGAAUUGACGGGGCCCCGCACAAGCGGCGGAGCAUGCGGAUUAAUUCGAUGCAACGCGUAGAACCUUACCUGGGUUUGACAUGGAUCGGGAGUGCUCAGAGAUGGGUGUGCCUCUUUUGGGGUCGGUUCACAGGUGGUGCAUGGCUGUCGUCAGCUCGUGUCGUGAGAUGUUGGGUUAAGUCCCGCAACGAGCGCAACCCUUGUUCACUGUUGCCAGCACGUUAUGGUGGGGACUCAGUGGAGACCGCCGGGGUCAACUCGGAGGAAGGUGGGGAUGACGUCAAGUCAUCAUGCCCCUUAUGUCCAGGGCUUCACGCAUGCUACAAUGGCUGGUACAGAGAGUGGCGAGCCUGUGAGGGUGAGCGAAUCUCGGAAAGCCGGUCUCAGUUCGGAUUGGGGUCUGCAACUCGACCUCAUGAAGUCGGAGUCGCUAGUAAUCGCAGAUCAGCAACGCUGCGGUGAAUACGUUCCCGGGGCU
rnacentral:rRNA from 1 species